UAGAGUUUGAUCCUGGCUCAGAACGAACGCUGGCGGCGUGCCUAACACAUGCAAGUCGAACGUGAUCCGGAGCUUGCUCCGGUGAAAGUGGCGCACGGGUGAGUAACGCGUGGAUAAUCUGCCUGAUGCUCUGGGAUAACAUCUCGAAAGGGGUGCUAAUACCGGAUAAGCCCACGGGGUCUUCGGACCUUGCGGGAAAAGAGGGGGACCUUCGGGCCUCUUGACAUCGGAUGAGUCCGCGUCCCAUUAGCUAGUUGGUGGGGUAAAGGCCUACCAAGGCGACGAUGGGUAGCUGGUCUGAGAGGAUGAUCAGCCACACUGGAACUGAGACACGGUCCAGACUCCUACGGGAGGCAGCAGUGGGGAAUUUUGCGCAAUGGGGGAAACCCUGACGCAGCAACGCCGCGUGAGUGAUGAAGGCCUUCGGGUCGUAAAGCUCUGUCAGAGGGAAAGAAAUGUGGGCAGCUAAUAUCUGUUCCACUUGACGGUACCCUCAGAGGAAGCACCGGCUAACUCCGUGCCAGCAGCCGCGGUAAUACGGAGGGUGCGAGCGUUGUUCGGAAUUAUUGGGCGUAAAGCGCGUGUAGGCGGUUUGCUCAGUCUGAUGUGAAAGCCCUGGGCUCAACCUGGGAAGUGCAUUGGAUACUGGCAGACUUGAGAU
rnacentral:rRNA from 1 species